UGUGAUAAUUUUGUGUCAAUAUGAAUAAUGAAAAUUGUAAUUUAAUUGGAAUGCAAUUUAAUUCAUAUGAUGAGUUUGAAAAAUUUAUAUCGGAAUAUCAAAGAAGAAAUAAAUGUGUUUUAUCUAAAAUUGAUUCACGUUUUUUAUUAGAAAAUAGUUAUAAAAUAAAGCCAAACAUGAAAUUAAAAUAUAAAUUGAUACAUUUAGUUUGUAAACAUGGUGAACAUUAUUAUAAAUCACAAAGUCGAGGGCUUCGUAAUGUCAAGACAUACAAACUGGGUUUCCAAUGUUUAUUCGAGUUGUAGUCUCGGAGGAUAGACAAUUCUUGAUAAUAAAAAAUGCAAACGAGUUACACCAAUAUCAUGAAGACUCAGAUGAAUUCUUCGAUUUAUAUCCUGAACAACGGAGACUAGAUCCAGACUACAAAAAACAUAUUGCCGGUAUUUUAGCUGUAAAAGCGGAUAAAAAAUUAUUACAAGAAAAAAUUAAGAAUGAUACUGGUAAAACCGUUUCAAUUAAAGAUUUACAUAAUAUUAAUCAACAAUUUAACAAAAAUGAAAAUGACAAUAAUCUUAAACUUGCUCAUGAUUUUUUGAAAA